rnacentral:ncRNA from 1 species
GGCUUUAGUAUUUCAUCACCUUAGACGACCCAAUAUGGCUACCAUAGUUGUGAGUGUUAAAAAGAUUCAAGAUUCGGACGCGGAGAGGAUCCUGUCCUUUUAGACCCAAGGUAUGCCCUUGCAUGCUGAUCGGGCGAAAGACAUUAUUAGCUGGGGAGUUUGGUUGGGGUAUAGCACAUCUGUUGAAUGAUAACAAAGGUGUCCUAAGAUGAGUUCGACGAGAAUAGAAAUUUCGUGUGGAACAAAAGGGUAAAAGCUCAUUUGAUUUUGAUUUCUAGAAAAAUAAUGAAGUAGAACAUACCAUACUGCAAUCUGCAAAGAAGCCAGAAUCUCAAUCCUCCUGUUAAUCUAGAACAGGAUUUUGCAUCAGAA